AUGAUCAUACUUCAUAGGAUCACUUCUAUAGUAUGAUUGCCAAGUUCCCUGACCGAAACUUGGUGUAACUUCAUGCCACGAUGACGAGGUUGAGUGUCCGUUCCUGAGCGGGAAGCUGCUCCUGGAUUAUCCAGGGGCUUGAGGACUGUCCACUCCCUGAGAAGGGCGUGGUGGGUCGGGCACAGGCUGAGUGGU
rnacentral:snoRNA from 1 species